UACGAAGGGGGCUAGCGUUGUUCGGAAUUACUGGGCGUAAAGGGCGCGUAGGCGGCGUGUCAAGUCAGGCGUGAAAGCCCCGGGCUCAACCUGGGAACCGCGCUUGAGACUGGCAUGCUCGAGUUCGGGAGAGGAUGGUGGAAUUCCCAGUGUAGAGGUGAAAUUCGUAGAUAUUGGGAAGAACACCGGUGGCGAAGGCGGCGAUCUGGACGAUGACUGACGCUGAGACGCGAAAGCGUGGGGAGCAAACAGG
rnacentral:rRNA from 1 species